UAAUUUACGUCGAGCGAUAUAUUCAAAAUUCAUUAUUUGAGUGUGGACAACAAUGCGAAUUCCUUCUUGAGAGUAGGUAUGCCGACCUUUACUUGAUUUAAGAAGAAGAAGCACCAGCCAAUAGGAACUAUACUCCUCCGGCAAAAGACUGUCGCAUCCGGAAUAGAAUCAAAUGCUCAACUACUAAGAAAAUAGACUGUGAUCCGCGAUAUUAAACCCGAUCCAAAUGGCGCGACCAACCACCUGAGUUGAAUCCAGCGACACCCGAAUCCGGCCCAAUAUUUUGGUUUGUAGCGGCGGAUCAUAGCUUAAUUAUCCAUGAAUCCUCGUCCAGCUAAAGCGUUACACCAAUCGUAGCACCACUAGGAGGAAUUUGCGCUUGUGCAUUGUGAGUCUGGCAACACAAUUAUUUUGAAAUUGUAAUUGUUCCUAGAACUUACACGAGCGCAAUAUUGUUUUGUUUACUGAGACGGUCAUUAUCAAUAUUUUUGAAUCGAAUAAUAUUACUACAUCUCUAAUAUCAAAACAAGGACAAAGGUAUGGGGAUAUGAAGUCAUUUGUGUAAGCAGAUAGCUGCUACAUCAGAAGUAGCUGACCUCGAAAUUUGUGAGCCUGUACAGGUGCAAAAUACUAGUAUGGUUUCUCUUCUUUUUUUUCAAUACUACUGUAGAUCGGAAGCCUAACCGAUGGCCUUUCGAUUAACCUCCUGUUAGCUUAUUGAACACUAAUAUUUUUACUUGAAACAGGCCCCAUACGUUGGGCGCCAAAAUAAUAUUAUAACUAAUUAUAAAUAACUGUAAUGAACAACGUGGAGCAGAUGGGCUAUUAAUACGUUCGGAGUACGCGCUUGCUCGGGCCGAUGCUCGCCGGCAAUUGGGAACGACAGACGAAGACAGACCAUGGACAUGAGAAAGAAGAAAAAGGUCAAAAGUAAUAGGAGGAUCGGAACACUCAAGCAAUCAGGUCAUCCUUUUUUUUUUAUUGUGGUGCUACCUUUUUGGCGCACUCGCCCACCCUGCCAUGAUCCUGCGGCCCGAUAUAUACAUCAGGAUUCUUUGGGAUGACCUACGGCAGCUAUCCUACCUCCAUCAGGAACUGCAUGUUAUCCACUUAA